CAGCAGCGCGGGAAUACGGAGGGAGCUAGCGUUGUUCGGAAUUACUGGGCGUAAAGCGCGCGUAGGCGGUUACUCAAGUCAGAGGUGAAAGCCCGGGGCUCAACCCCGGAACUGCCUUUGAAACUAGGUGACUAGAAUCUUGGAGAGGUCAGUGGAAUUCCGAGUGUAGAGGUGAAAUUCGUAGAUAUUCGGAAGAACACCAGUGGCGAAGGCGACUGACUGGACAAGUAUUGACGCUGAUGUGCGAAAGCGUGGGGAGCAAACAGGAUUAGAGACCCCAGUAGUCCCUGUCUCUUAUACC
rnacentral:rRNA from 1 species